UAGUUUGGUGAUCAUUGCUUUUAAUCAGAGUAGAUAAAUUGGAUGCUGAAACCAGUUGUUCAUAAUUGAGACUGGUUGGUUUAUUACCUGAACUUGCAUCCCAUGUCUUACGGCCCUGCUUCUCGCACUUGGGACUUCCACUUUUUGAGGUUUCUGUUAACAUGCCAUACUGAUGAUAAAGUGCUCAAAGUGAUGGUCAAUUGAGAGAAUCUGCAUUUGGAUGGUUAAAUGUUCAAAAGAUGAUGUAGUAUAUUUUGUAAUAUGCUAUAUUCUUAACAUAAGUUUAAACUCAAGUUUGCUAGAAAUUGUACUUGGUCUGUAGCAGAUUGGAUAUAAAAAGUUUGUUAAAACCCUUUCUAUUAUCUAUGAUAUAUAUGCUGAUUCACCUGUACUUUGAGGUUAA